rnacentral:misc_RNA from 1 species
GUACCUUCAAGCUCUGCUCGGUGUUGGGUGUUUGUCUCGCCUUGCGCGUAGACUCGCCUUAAAACAAUUGGCAGCUGGCGUAUUGAUUUCGGAGCGCAGUACAUCUCGCGCUUUGCACUCAUAACGGCGACGUCCAAAAGUACAUUUUUACACUC